rnacentral:rRNA from 1 species
ACUCCUACGGGAGGCAGCAGUGGGGAAUAUUGCACAAUGGGCGCAAGCCUGAUGCAGCCAUGCCGCGUGUGUGAAGAAGGCCUUCGGGUUGUAAAGCACUUUCAGUCGUGAGGAAGGUAGUGUAGUUAACACCUGCUACNAUUUGACGUUACCUUAACAGAAGAAGCACCGGGCUAACUCCGUGCCAGCAGCCGCGGUAAUACGGAGGGUGCGAGCGUUAAUCGGAAUUACUGGGCGUAAAGCGCAUGCAGGCGGCCUGUUAAGUCAGAUGUG